UACGUAGGGUGCAAGCGUUAAUCGGAAUUACUGGGCGUAAAGCGUGCGCGGGCGGUUUUGUAAGACAGAGGUGAAAUCCCCGGGCUCAACCUGGGAACUGCCUUUGUGACUGCAAGGCUUGAGUGCGGCAGAGGGGGAUGGAAUUCCGCGUGUAGCAGUGAAAUGCGUAGAUAUGCGGAGGAACACCGAUGGCGAAGGCAAUCCCCUGGGCCUGCACUGACGCUCAUGCACGAAAGCGUGGGGAGCAAACAGG
rnacentral:rRNA from 1 species